AACGAACGCUGGCGGCAUGCCUAACACAUGCAAGUCGAACGCCCCGCAAGGGGAGUGGCGAACGGGUGAGUAACGCGUGGGAACCUACCCAGCAGUUGGGGAUAACCGCGGGAAACUGCGGCUAAUACCGAAUACGUCCUAAGGGAGAAAGAUUUAUCGCUGUUGGAGGGGCCCGCGUCGGAUUAGCUAGUUGGUGAGGUAACGGCUCACCAAGGCGACGAUCCGUAGCUGGUCUGAGAGGAUGAUCAGCCACACUGGGACUUAGACACGGCCCAGACUCCUACGGGAGGCAGCAGUGGGGAAUAUUGGACAAUGGGGGCAACCCUGAUCCAGCAAUGCCGCGUGAGUGAUGAAGGCCUUAGGGUUGUAAGCUCUUUUACCGGGGACGAUGAUGACGGUACCCGGGGAAUCAGCCCCGGCUAACUUCGUGCCAGCAGCCGCGGUAAAAC
rnacentral:rRNA from 1 species